rnacentral:rRNA from 1 species
ACGUAGGGGGCAAGCGUUAUCCGGAUUUACUGGGUGUAAAGGGAGCGUAGACGGCGACGCAAGUCUGGAGUGAAAGCCCGGGGCCCAACCCCGGGACUGCUUUGGAAACUGUGCUGCUGGAGUGCAGGAGAGGUAAGUGGAAUUCCUAGUGUAGCGGUGAAAUGCGUAGAUAUUAGGAGGAACACCAGUGGCGAAGGCGGCUUACUGGACUGUAACUGACGUUGAGGCUCGAAAGCGUGGGGAGCAAACAG